rnacentral:rRNA from 1 species
GGUAGCAUAAUCAUUAGUCUUUUAAUUGAGGACUGGAAUGAAAGGGUAAACUGGAAAGGAUUUUUUUAAGAUAAAAAAAAUAAAGUUGACUUUUUAGUAAGAAGGCUAAAAUAACUCUUAAAGACAAGAAGACCCUAUAAAACUUUAUAUUUACUACUUUUAGGAAAGGAAAUAAAUAUUUUGCUGGGGCGGCAGGAAAAAUAACUUUUUUUGUUUUAGAAGAUUACAUAAAUCUAAAUACCUAAAAUUUUUAAAAGAAGAAUAAGUUACUUUAGGGAUAACAGCUUAAUUCACUUAAAAAGUUCUAAUUGACAAGUGAGUUUAUGACCUCGAUGUUGAAUUAAAAGUCCUCUUGGCGCAAAAGCC